UACGUAGGGUGCGAGCGUUAAUCGGAAUUACUGGGCGUAAAGCGUGCGCAGGCGGUUUUGUAAGCCAGAUGUGAAAGCCCCGGGCUUAACCUGGGAAUGGCAUUUGGGACUGCAAGGCUUGAGUGCGGCAGAGGAGACUGGAAUUCCUGGUGUAGCGGUGAAAUGCGCAGAUAUCAGGAGGAACACCGGUGGCGAAGGCGGGUCUCUGGGCCGGAACUGGACGCUGAGGAGCGAAAGCGUGGGGAGCGAACAGG
rnacentral:rRNA from 1 species